UACGGAGGGUGCAAGCGUUAAUCGGAAUUACUGGGCGUAAAGCGCGCGUAGGCGGCUCGAUCAGUCGGGUGUGAAAUCCCUGGGCUCAACCUGGGAACUGCAUUCGAUACUGUCGAGCUAGAGUGUGGGAGAGGGUAGUGGAAUUCCCGGUGUAGCGGUGAAAUGCGUAGAUAUCUGGAGGAACACCGGUGGCGAAGGCGGCGUUCUGGACUGCAACUGACACUGAUGAACGAAAGCCAGGGGAGCAAACGGG
rnacentral:rRNA from 1 species